UACAGAGGUCCCGAGCGUUGUUCGGAUUCAUUGGGCGUAAAGGGUGCGUAGGUGGCGCCGUAAGUGGGGUGUGAAAUCCCGGGGCUUAACCCCGGGACUGCAUUCCAUACUGCGGUGCUUGAGGACUGGAGAGGAGACUGGAAUUUACGGUGUAGCGGUGAAAUGCGUAGAUAUCGUAAGGAAGACCAGUGGCGAAGGCGGGUCUCUGGGCCGAUACUGACGCUGAGGAGCGAAAGCGUGGGGAGCGAACAGG
rnacentral:rRNA from 1 species